CCUCUACCGCUAACUCCCUCCCUCCUUCCCUCCCCCUCCUUCCCUCCUUCCUGCCCACUGGCCGCUCGUGCACGGGCGGGCGGGUAUGAAGGUAACUACGGCAACGGUAGUAGGUGGGUAUAGUUGUGAGUGUCGCGCGCAGAACCCGAACGGGGCGGGCGGGCGCGCGCUCGGAAUCACCGUCACCUCGCGCUCGUUUGUUUCAGCAGCACGCGCUGAUCCGGCUCACUGACGUCACAACAGACCAGGUCCAGGUCCAGGACCAGGACCAAAUCUAUGGAAGCUCAUUUCUGCCAAUGUGACGUAACAAAAAAAGGAUUCGGUACGUGAUUAUAUUCCUUAAUAUGUCAUAUUUUCCAGUUGUUUAAUUUAUUCUUCUGAUUCUUCUUUCAAACAGAAAACACUGUUCAACCUCCUGAGUCCUUCCUCACCUUCCUCACCUGUAGAGCCAGUUUGUUCAUUUUAACUUUAAACUCGAUGAAAACUGUAAAUGAAGCUUCCUGAUAGUUUCUUAAUCUCCUGUUUGUUAAACAGUAAAGCAGAAAUUUAAAGAGAUGUUUAAUUGAUCUUAACUUAUACGAUUCAUUAAACACUUAAUAAAUGAAACCUGAUGAAUGUGUUUAACAGGUAAUUAUUUUUAUUUUAGUAAAACAAUGAACACAUUAUAAAUUCUUUAUAAAUAAACGUUUGAGUCUGCAAAUAAACUCUGAAGAUAAUUUAUGAAAAGCUUCACAUUUAUAUUUUGUCACAAUUAUAAAAAUUUUAUUGAGAAAUCCUUUAAUUGACAGAAAUUAUUUAUUUCAGACGCUGCUCUUCUCUUCUCGUCCACCAGGGGUCCUCGGCGUGAUCCUGAAACCCCGAAACACUGAAAUCGACUUUUGUUGUCUUUUUAAAGACUUAUAAUCUAAUAAUAGUGUAUCUAUAGUGGUUUCUGAUCUGGACCUGGUCCAAUGUGGUCCAGAUGUUAAUAAGUCAAAUAAAGAGAGUAAAAUCUUUUGUGUCCCUGAUGAUUAAGACUUUUUAUUUAUAGAACAAUAAAUAAUAAAUAUUACAGGAGAAACAUUAAUGGAAGAUUUAGAGGAAUAAUUCGGCUGCGUUCUCACUUCAGGUAAAACACAUUUUUUAUUUAUUCAAAUGUGAAGUCAAACACUCACUGGAUGUUUUCCGAGCAUUUCACAGCCACCGUAGAUCCUUUUAUUCCUUUAUUCAGACUUAAUGUUUGAUUAUUGUGCUUUAGUUUAAUUAACCCUCAUACAGUAAUAUAUAUAUAUAUAUAUAUAUCUCGAUAGAGAGAGAGAAUUCAUAUUAUAACCCAGAAUAAAACCACUGCAGCAGUUAUAUUGUGUUUGUGAUGGUUAUAAACAAUAAAAUCAGACAGUAAAAUGAGA